AUUGAACGCUGGCGGCAGGCCUAACACAUGCAAGUCGAGCGGAUGAAGGGAGCUUGCUCCUGGCUGCAGCGGCGGACGGGUGAGUAAUGCCUAGGAAUCUGCCUGGUCGUGGGGGAUAACGUCCGGUAACGGGCGCUAAUACCGCAUACGUCCUGAUGGAGAAAGUGGGGGAUCUUCGGACCUCACGCUAUCAGAUGAGCCUAGGUCGGAUUAGCUAGUUGGUGGGGUAAAGGCCUACCAAGGCGACGAUCCGUAACUGGCCUGAGAGGCUGAUCAGUCACACUGGAACUGAGACACGGUCCAGACUCCUACGGGAGGCAGCAGUGGGGAAUAUUGGACAAUGGGCGAAAGCCUGAUCCAGCCACGCCGCGUGUGUGAAGAAGGUCUUCGGAUUGUAAAGCACUUUAAGUUGGGAGGAAGGGCAGUAAGUUAAUACCUUGCUGUUUUGACGUUACCAACAGAAUAAGCACCGGCUAACUACGUG
rnacentral:rRNA from 1 species